GACGAACGCUGGCGGCGUGCUUAACACAUGCAAGUCGAACGAAGUGGCGAACGGGUGAGUAACGCGUAAUCAACCUGCCCUUCAGAGGGGGACAACAGUUGGAAACGACUGCUAAUACCGCAUACUGAAGGAGGGGAUUGCGUCUGAUUAGCUAGUUGGAGGGGUAACGGCCCACCAAGGCGAUGAUCAGUAGCCGGUCUGGUAGGAUGAACGGCCACCAUGGGAAUGGAACACGGCUCCGACUCCUACGGGGGGGAACAAGGGGGAAUCUUCCGAAAUGGAGGAAAGUCUGACGGAGCAACGCCGCGUGAGUGAUGACAGCCUUCGGGUUGUAAAGCUAUGUUAAUCGGGACGCGGUACCGGAAUAGAAAGCCACGGCUAACUACGUGCCAGCAGCCGCGGUAAUUC
rnacentral:rRNA from 1 species